GAUGAACGCUGGCGGCGUGCCUAAUACAUGCAAGUCGAGCGAACGGACGAGAAGCUUGCUUCUCUGAUGUUAGCGGCGGACGGGUGAGUAACACGUGGAUCACCUACCUAUAAGACUGGGAUAACUUCGGGAAACGGUAGCUAAUACCGGAUAAUAUCUUGAACCGCAUGGUUCAAAAGUGAAAGACGGUCUUGCUGUCUCUUAUAGAUGGAUCCGGGCUGCAUUAGAUAGUUGGUAAGGUCACGGCUUUCCAAGGCAAGGAUGCGUAGCCGACUGGAGAGGGUGAUCGGCCGCAUGGGAGGUGAGACAGCGUCCAGACGCCUGAGGGAGGGAGCAGUAGGGAAUCUGCCGCAAUGGGCGGAAGCCUGACGGAGCGGCGCCGCGUGAGUGAUGAAAGUCUUCGGAUCGUAAAACUCUGUUAUUGGGGGAAAACAUCUGUGUAAGUAGCUGUACACAUCUUGACGGUAACUGAUCAGAAAGCACCGGCUAACUACGUG
rnacentral:rRNA from 1 species